GUAGGUAUAGCUCAGUGGUAGAGUGUAUGCUUAGCAUGUACAAGGUCGUGGGUUCAAUUCCUAGUAUCUCCA
rnacentral:tRNA from 1 species